UGGGGAAUUUUGGACAAUGGACGCAAGUCCGAUCCAGCCAUGCCGCGUGCGGGAAGAAGGCCUUCGGGUUGUAAACCGCUUUUGUCAGGGAAGAAACGAGUUUCUCUAAUACAGAGACUUAAUGACGGUACCUGAAGAACAAGCACCGGCUAACUACGUGCCAGCAGCCGCGGUAAUACGUAGGGUGCAAGCGUUAAUCGGAAUUACUGGGCGUAAAGCGUGCGCAGGCGGUUAUGCAAGACAGAUGUGAAAUCCCCGGGCUCAACCUGGGAACUGCAUUUGUGACUGUAUAGCUAGAGUACGGCAGAGGGGGAUGGAAUUCCGCGUGUAGCAGUGAAAUGCGUAGAUAUGCGGAGGAACACCGAUGGCGAAGGCAAUCCCCUGGGCCUGUACUGACGCUCAUGCACGAAAGCGUGGGGAGCAAACA
rnacentral:rRNA from 1 species